AUUUAAAUAGCUUAUGUAUAGAAAGUAUAAUAUUGAAGAUAUUAAGAAAAUAUUAUUUAUUUUUAAAUG
rnacentral:tRNA from 1 species